rnacentral:sRNA from 1 species
GCUGGGUGUGGUGGCAUAUACCUGUAAUCCCAGUGAUUUGGGAGGCUGAGGCAGAAGGAUCACAAGUUCAAGGCCAGCCUCAGCAAUUUAGCAAGGUCCUGAGCAACUUAGUGAGAUCCUGUCUCAA